UUCGGUUAUCAGAUUCGUGUACCGGCGAUGAUGAUGAUGAAGAGAUGGGU
rnacentral:sRNA from 1 species